AAUUAAACAGAAGAAACAAGUGCUCUCUAUCUCUUCGAAAACCCUAACUCCGGGAGCAAAAGAUUUCCGUCACCUAGAAGAUUUCGGGAUUGAAAAUAUAGAUCAAUCGAUAGAGGAGGCAAUUCAGGCAAGUAAUUCCAAAAGGAUCGCCGAUAUUGUCUCCGAGACGGCAAAGCGGUCCAAGGAGUUUGCCGCCGAGGCCAAAGCCAUUGCUGACCACCGCAUUAAGUCCCUUACUGAGCAGAUCCCCUCCAUCACUCUUCUCAAUGCCUCAUCUCCUUUCUCCGAUGAUCCAAUUCCCGUAGAUCUUGAGAUAUUCGGUAUCACCGACGAUCUGAGACAGUUCGCUCGAGGUUUCACGGUCACAGCGUUUCGGAAUUUCCCCAUUCAUGAUGAUUCUAUAGUUUUUGAUGUGCCAACAGUAUUAAAUGAGAGGCAGAGUGGUAGCAGAAACAUGCAUUGAUCCUUGACAAGGACCUUAAUUACAAAGGAAUUGAUCAUCUUGGCUAUCUUCGUCAAGCAUUUGAAGUUGGAUCCUUCAAUUAUUUUCUUGAAAGUGAGAUACUAAAUGGUUCUGAAGUGUGUUUCUUGGCUAAUACUUGUUACUCUGCUCUCAUUAUUAAGUUCCCAUAUAUCCUAAAUGUUUCUUGGUUUGAUGGGCACUGGUGGCUCCUGCAGGUUAAAAGUUCUGGCUUGGAUAGGCACAUUGAAACUAACUUAUGGGUAAUUAUGGCUGUAACUAUUUGCAGUUUGAUAAAAACAUAUCGUUUAGCCACAAUGGUCCAUUAAUGAUUUCAAUGAGCAUUGGUACACUGGCAAGAAUGUUAAAAUGGGACAGGCUGGCAUGUUAACCAAAUGUGAAGUUAGGCAACAAUUGCAUUAGACUCCACUAUGGGAGUUGUUUAUUGGGUUGUGAAUCACAAACCAUUUGGUUCUUUAGGGUGUAAAUUCCUCUUGUUGCCUGCUUCACUACACUUAAUAUGAAAGGUGAUACGCAUUCAUGCUUAAAUUUAUUGAAGGAUAUAUUGCGUUUUCAUGCUAUACUUCUUGACAAAAGUGAUUCUUGACAAAAGAGGUGCAGUUUGAAAAUGAAGGGGACUAAUAAGAGGAACUGCUUAUCUUACCA